rnacentral:tRNA from 2 species
UCGUUAGCUCAGUUGGUAGAGCAGUUGACUUUUAAUCAAUUGGUCGCAGGUUCGAGCCCUGCACGA